rnacentral:rRNA from 1 species
UACGGAGGGGGCUAGCGUUGUUCGGAAUUACUGGGCGUAAAGCGCGCGUAGGCGGUUACUCAAGUCGGAUGUGAAAGCCCUCGGCUUAACUGAGGAAGUGCACCCGAAACUGAGUAGCUAGAGUACUAAAGAGGGUCGCGGAAUUCCCGGUGUAGCGGUGAAAUGCGUAGAUAUUGGGAAGAACACCGGUGGCGAAAGCGCUCUGCUGGACCUGCACUGACACUGAGGGACGAAAGCUAGGGGAGCGAAAGGG